rnacentral:lncRNA from 1 species
AUGACUGCCUUGCCUGGUUCACCAAUUACUUUGCAGACAGAGUUCAGUUGUGUCAAAUCGGAGGGCAUGCUGUCCGGUCCUCUGGCAGUCUCUAUGGGGGUGCCACAGGGUUCAAUUCUCGGGCCGACUCUUUUCUCUGUGUAUAUCAAUGAUGUUGCUCUUGCUGCGGGCGAUUCCCUGAUCCACCUCUACGCAGACGACACCAUUCUAUAUACUUUCGGCCCGUCUUUGGACACUGUGCUAUCUAACCUCCAAACAAGCUUCAAUGCCAUACAACACUCCUUCCGUGGCCUCCAACUGCUCUUAAACGCUAGUAAAACCAAAUGCAUGCUUUUCAACCGGUCGCUGCCUGCACCUGCAUGCCCGACUAGCAUCACCACCCUGGAUGGUUCCGACCUAGAAUAUGUGGACGUCUAUAAGUACCUAGGUGUCUGGCUAGACUGCAAACUCUCCUUCCAGACUCAUAUCAAACAUCUCCAAUCGAAAAUCAAAUCAAGAGUCGGCUUUCUAUUCCGCAACAAAGCCUCCUUCACUCAAGCCGCCAAGCUUACCCUAGUAAAACUGACUAUCCUACCGAUCCUCGACUUCGGCGAUGUCAUCUACAAAAUGGCUUCCAACACUCUACUCAGCAAACUGGAUGCAGUCUAUCACAGUGCCAUCCGUUUUGUCACUAAAGCACCUUAUACCACCCACCACUGCGACUUGUAUGCUCUAGUCGGCUGGCCCUCGCUACAUAUUCGUCGCCAGACCCACUGGCUCCAGGUCAUCUACAAGUCUAUGCUAGGUAAAGCUCCGCCUUAUCUCAGCUCACUGGUCACGAUGGCAACACCCAUCCGUAGCACGCGCUCCAGCAGGUGUAUCUCACUGAUCAUCCCUAAAGCCAACACCUCAUUUGGCCGCCUUUCGUUCCAGUACUCUGCUGCCUGUGACUGGAACGAAUUGCAAAAAUCGCUGAAGUUGGAGACUUUUAUCUCCCUCACCAACUUCAAACAUCAGCUAUCUGAGCAGCUAACCGAUCGCUGCAGCUGUACAUAG